rnacentral:misc_RNA from 1 species
AAGUCGUAACAAGGUUUCCGUAGGUGAACCUGCGGAAGGAUCAUUAACACAAUUUUACUGUGAUAAAUCCGUUGAAUUCUCGAAUUCAAUGGUAUCCACCCCAUUAUUGACGAACUUUUCUAGAUGUUAAAACAUAGAGCUAGUGUCUUUAUGUUUUUAACAUUCUAAACCUUUUUCUAUAUCCACACAAAUUUAAACCCCUUUUACAACAUGUAUUAGACUGAAAUGAAAAUUUUCUAUCAAAAAAUUGAUAAAAACAACUUUUAACAACGGAUAUCUUGGCUCUC